rnacentral:rRNA from 1 species
UACGUAGGGGGCAAGCGUUGUCCGGAAUCAUUGGGCGUAAAGCGCGCGUAGGCGGCCCGGUAAGUCCGCUGUAAAAGUCGAGGGCUCAACCCUCGAAUGCCGGUGGAUACUGUCGGGCUAGAGUACGGAAGAGGCGAGUGGAAUUCCUGGUGUAGCGGUGAAAUUCGUAGAUAUCAGGAGGAACACCGGUGGCGAAAAGCGGCUUCCUGGCCCGACACUGACGCUCAUGUACGAAAGCGUGGGGAGCAAACAGG